rnacentral:rRNA from 1 species
GACGAACGCUGGCGGCGUGCUUAACACAUGCAAGUCGAACGGUGAAAGCGGAGCUUGCUCCGCUGGAUCAGUGGCGAACGGGUGAGUAACACGUGGGCAACCUGCCCCUCACUUCGGGAUAACUCCGGGAAACCGGGGCUAAUACCGGAUAUGACCUCCUUGGGCAUCCUUGGAGGUGGAAAGUUUUUCGGUGAGGGAUGGGCCCGCGGCCUAUCAGCUUGUUGGUGAGGUAGUGGCUCACCAAGGCGACGACGGGUAGCCGGCCUGAGCGGGCGACCGGCAACACGGGGACUGGGACACGGCCCGGACGCCUACGGGAGGAAGCAGUGGGGAAUAUUGCGCAGUGGGCGAAAGCCUGACGCAGCAACGCCGCGUGCGGGAUGACGGCCUUCGGGUUGUAAACCGCUUUCAGCAGGGAAGAAGCCGCAAGGUGACGGUACCUGCAGAAGAAGCACCGGCUAACUACGUGCCAGCCGCCGCCGUAA